rnacentral:rRNA from 1 species
AGAGUUGAUCAUGGCUCAGGACGAACGCUGGCGGCGUGCUUCAUACAUGCAAGUCGAACGAGAAGUCACCUUCGGGUGAUGGAAAGUGGCGGACGGGUGAGUAAUGUGUAGAGAAUCUGCCCUUUAGUGGGGGACAACAGUUGGAAACGACUGCUAAUACCCCAUAUGCGCGUAGCUGAGAUGCUAUUCGUGAAAACUCCGGUGCUAAAGGAUGAGUCUGCAUCUGAUUAGCUAGUUGGCGGUGUAAUGGACCACCAAGGCGACGAUCAGUAGCUGGUUUGAGAGGAUGAUCAGCCACAAUGGGACUGAGACACGGCCCAUACUCCUACGGGAGGCAGCAGUAGGGAAUUUUGCGCAAUGGGGGAAACCCUGACGCCAGCAACGCCGCGUGAUUGAAUAAGCCCUUCGGGGUGUAAAGAUCUGUCAGUAGGGACGAAACUUGACGGUACCUACAGAGGAAGCAUCGGCUAACUCCGUGCCAGCCGCCGC